AGAACAGGAUUAGCUCAGGCCCAGGGGUAGCACCAAGUCUAUGUCCUGUAAAUGUCAGUGAAUUCAGUGAAAUUAUUGAAAGAAGGUGAGAGGCUUACGUCCUUGCAUGUCUUAUCAAGACAGAAAUUUGUUUUGGAUGCAUUUCUCUGUAUAAAUGGAAUUUGUGAAUGGUGCAUGGCACUGUUAGUACUACAUUACUGGCGAAUCAAGAAACAGCUUUGACAAUGGCUUUGACCUUGUUAACAUUACUGGAAGAAGAAACCAUUGUAGUGAAUUAUUUGAAUAAUAUUGUUUUUGAAUUGGCAUUUGCUAUGAGGUUCAGUGAAAAAUCAUCACGAUUAUUUCUUCCUGGUAUACUUGGCUGCAAAAGCAAAUAGAAUGAGAUCAAAAGAAAUUAAGGGUGAGUUUGGAUGGGGGGUGCGUUUACCUGCGGUUAGCGUAAAAACAGCGAUGGCGGUGAGAUUAGAUAAUGUAGCGUGAGACAAAAAGCAAUCGCCC
rnacentral:lncRNA from 1 species